rnacentral:rRNA from 1 species
CCUACGGGUGGCAGCAGUGAGGAAUAUUGGUCAAUGGGCGCGAGCCUGAACCAGCCAAGUCGCGUGAGGGAAGACGGUCCUAUGGAUUGUAAACCUCUUUUGUUAGAGAAGAUAAUGACGGUAUCUAACGAAUAAGCACCGGCUAACUCCGUGCCAGCAGCCGCGGUAAUACGGAGGAUUCAAGCGUUAUCCGGAUUUAUUGGGUUUAAAGGGUGCGUCGGCGGUUCGAUAAGUUAGAGGUGAAAUCCCGGGGCUCAACUCCGGCACUGCCUCUGAUACUGUCGGGCUAGAGUUUAGUUGCGGUAGGCGGAAUGUAUGGUGUAGCGGUGAAAUGCAUAGAGAUCAUACAGAACACCGAUUGCGAAGGCAGCUUACCAAACUACGACUGACGUUGAGGCACGAAAGCGUGGGGAGCAAACAGGAUUAGAUACCCGGGUAGUC